GGGCGGCGUCGCCUUCUUCCCCUUCUCCGACGAGCCGCGCCGCCGCGGCGUCGUAUCCGAGGCAACCCCAGGCCAGAUGGCGGGCGCUGGUCGUCGUGGGCGGCGCGCUCCGCCGCCGCGUACGACGUACGGGGCCACGCGCGAAGACGCGACGCGACCACGGGCGCUCGAGAGGUAACCAACUUGUAGUGUACAUCUUGAUGAAGCAUUGAAGCUCCGCUGCGAAAUUGUAUCGCCGAUGAAACCGUGGGAUCCUUCGAUUUGAUUGAUAUUGAUACACCCUAGUGCCUGCGAAUCUGACUACGGUGGGAGCUCGUCGUAGUUGCUCUAUUGCUAGGGCAGGUCUAAUUAGUACUACUAGUAGUAGUGACACUUAGAUUGACUGAUUGGGUUUCCUGGGGCUAGUGGCCAAAUGGGGGAUUUCAAUCAUCACUGCUUCUUUCAUUUCAUGUAGAUUUUUAAUGGAAAAUUUUUUCCCUCUAUAUCAAAUACUAGACCAUAUAUCCCCUAAAAAAAGUAGACCAUAUAUAUCCUGACUUUGAUAUUGCUACUAGACCAUAUAUGUCCUGACUUUGGUAUUGGAUAGUAGCAUUGAAUCUAGUGUCGACCAAUAGAACCAGUGCUUUUUUUUUCCCUCUUAGCUACUGAUGAUUGUCCAGCUAACUUCUCAUCAACAGGAGUUAACUGAGUUUGGACAACCCUCACAACACAUCAUUUUUCCCUGGGAAUACGCAUAAGAACUGCGUAUUUUUGUAUUAAGAUGGAGUGUUUGUACAGCAGCUCAAGUUACAAAUCCCUAAAAUG
rnacentral:sRNA from 1 species